rnacentral:rRNA from 1 species
AAGAUGUAACGGGGCUAAACCAUGCACCGAAGCUGCGGGGUAGGGGAGCGUUCUGUAAGCCGUUGAAGGUGACCUGUGAGGG